UGAGCUCAGGCAAGAACACCCG
rnacentral:rRNA from 1 species